CCCACUGUAUCCCCGUUGGUUGUUCCCCCGGUCCCGCCUUUGUACCUCCCUUGAUCCCUUCACCUAUUGGCCCUCUGCCGACGUGCCUGCCCUGAAGCUCCCUGGCUUCGCCUGCCCAGCCGAGGCACGGUCAGCAGCGGGGGACGCUCCCCUGUGUCUCCAGGAGAUUCGGGGAGCAGCUAAGACAAAGCGCUUCGCUGUUUGCCUCGUUAGGAGGAGAGGCGGCGUCCGAGGAGCCUGCAAUCUACAACUGGCAGCGCAAGCGUCUGGUGCUUGUCUGGGCUAUCCACUUUCUCUGGGGGAGACAUUCUUGGGAAGGCGGCUGUCUCAGCAACAUCUGCCAUGCUGCUGCAAGUAACAGGUCACAUCUUCCACUCUCAACUGAGAGAACAUGCCAGAAUAUCCAUGGGAAAGCUUUAGGAAUAGUGUCUCCCUCCUGAUUGGCUUUUAUGUAAGAGACAGCCAUAGCCUGAAGUACAACUAGGCAGAUAGACCUUCUUCUGAGGUCUAUACCUGCAGCUACAAAAAUAUGAGCAAAAAAAUCUCAGGGACUGAGCCUUUCCUUCAUACCCAGAUGGUUUCAUAUUCCAGACAGCUCCCCCUGUACUCUGAUCAUAUCGUUAAUCAUAAAGGCCCCAUAGCUAGCAAAAUAUUCUCUUCUUCCAGAGGUACAAAACAAUUCUGAAAGGUCAAUAGAAGGAACAGCAUAAAUCAUAAUAGCAGGCAAUUACACCUGCUGCAGUAUGAACAAGGUGCUCAGAAGACCAGAAGUUGGUUGAUCCAUGACUGGAGCAGGGGGAUAAAAGAGGUGACCGACAGCUCUGGCAAAGCCCUGGCGGCAGGUGCCUGGAGUUGAUCCCUGUUAAUGUCAGGUUCCCCCUACAGAAUCCCAGCACAGCCAGUGGGCAGUGACAAAGAUUUCUGCUCAGAGCUCUGCUGGGACAUUGAUGCACUGAUGGGGGUAGGAUGGUGUGCUACAUGUUGAGGAUGUGGACUGGGAAAUUUAACCACACUCAUUUGCUAAAUUCUUGUUAAAAUCUUUUCUUAAAGUUUGCUCUCUUUGAGUUAACUUCAAGACGUUCUCACAAGGUAUCAGACUACUGCAGGUAACUGAUUCCAAUGGCUGAGUGUGACUGGAGCCAUCCAGAGAAACACGAGACAGCUUUUACAGUCCCAGCCUGUUCCCCCUGUGCUGUACUGCAGCAGAACUCCACCUGCUUCAUCCACCUUCAGAUGCAUUUACACACCCUGUAGAGAAAUGGAGAAAUGCUAUCCCACCUCCAUUGCAAACUUUUCUUCUGCAUCAAGUAAUUCAGCUAAGAGAUUUUUUUUUUGCACAUAAAAUCAUUCUGGUCUUAAGCAUCUCUCACAAAAGAACAAUCCUGCAGUAAGAAUUGACAAGAAUCCCCUAAAAAUUAAUGGAUCGCAGAAUCAAGAACUAACUUUUGCAUUCCAAUUCCAACAGAAAUUCCAAUUUCUAGAUGAAAAGGUACCUCUGAAAGCAACAUACAGACAGUUUUCACUUCUGAAUUUCUGCCUCUCUGUGCCUCUCCUUUCAUGCAGAAAAAUUAAAUUGUCUUUGUUAUCUUAUUAGCCAAGAAAUCACUGCAAUAUCUUACAGUUACAAAAAUUCUGUUUUUUUUCCUUUAUGUUGAAUAUAUCAGUUUAGACAUAUAAAGUCUCACACAUCACAUUUCCUGUUUAAUAUACA